GACGUAGGGCGCGAGCGUUGUCCGGAUUUAUUGGGCGUAAAGAGCUCGUAGGCGGCUUGUUGCGUCGACUGUGAAAACCCGCGGCUUAACUGCGGGCUUGCAGUUGAUACGGGCAGGCUAGAGUUCGGUAGGGGAGACUGGAAUUCCUGGUGUAGCGGUGAAAUGCGCAGAUAUCAGGAGGAACACCGAUGGCGAAGGCAGGUCUCUGGGCCACUACUGACGCUGAGAAGCGAAAGCAUGGGGAGCAAACAGG
rnacentral:rRNA from 1 species